rnacentral:rRNA from 1 species
AUUGAACGCUGGCGGAAUGCUUUACACAUGCAAGUCGAACGGCAGCACGGGGGCAACCCUGGUGGCGAGUGGCGAACGGGUGAGUAAUACAUCGGAACGUGCCCCGUCGUGGGGGAUAACGUAGCGAAAGUUACGCUAUUACCGCAUACGCACUACGGAUGAAAGCGGGGGACCGUAAGGCCUCGUGCGAUUGGAGCGGACGAUGUCAGAUUAGGUAGUGGGUGCGGUAAAGGCUCACCAAGCCGACGAUCUGUAGCUGGUCUGAGAGGACGACCAGCCACACUGGGACUGAGACACGGCCCAGACUCCUACGGGAGGCAGCAGUGGGGAAUGUUGGACAAUGGGCGCAAGCCUGAUCCAGCCAUUCCGCGUGCAGGACGAAGGCCUUCGGGUUGUAAACUGCUUUUGUACGGAACGAAAAGGCUCUGGUUAAUACCUGGGGCUCAUGACGGUACCGUAAGAAUAAGCACCGGCUAACUACGUGCCUGCCGCCGCCGUAA